UAACACUUUAAAAUUCCCAGUACCAAAAUGAGAACGGAAGUGAAAACAUCGGUAUUGGUAUUGGAAGUCGAACUUAAACACGCUACUACCACCAAUAGUGACAAUAUACAUGAAAAAAUGACUUAAUUCUGAUUGAUUAAGAGUACUGCAAUUUUACUGAGAAACAGUGUCGCUUGGAAAUUGGUUUAAAUUUUGACAGUCGAAAACUUGUAUGAAAU